rnacentral:rRNA from 1 species
GGUUAAGCGACUAAGCGUACACGGUGGAUGCCCUGGCAGUCAGAGGCGAUGAAGGACGUGCUAAUCUGCGAAAAGCGCCGGCGAGGUGAUAUGAACCUUUGACCCGGCGAUGUCCGAAUGGGGAAACCCAGUGCAAUCCGUUGCACUAUCGUUAACUGAAUACAUAGGUUAACGAGGCGAACCGGGGGAACUGAAACAUCUAAGUACCCCGAGGAAAAGAAAUCAACCGAGAUUCCCCCAGUAGCGGCGAGCGAACGGGGAGCAGCCCGGAGUCUGAAUCAGCUUGUGUGUUAGUGGAACGGUCUGGAAAGUCCGACGGUACAGGGUGAUAGUCCCGUACACGAAAGCACACUUGCUGUGAACUCGAAGAGUAGGGCGGGACACGUGGUAUCCUGUCUGAAUAUGGGGGGACCAUCCUCCAAGGCUAAAUACUCCUGACUGACCGAUAGUGAACCAGUACCGUGAGGGAAAGGCGAAAAGAACCCCGGCGAGGGGAGUGAAAAAGAACCUGAAACCGUGUACGUACAAGCAGUGGGAGCCUCUUUAUGGGGUGACUGCGUACCUUUUGUAUAAUGGGUCAGCGACUUAUAUUCUGUAGCAAGGUUAACCGUAUAGGGGAGCCGAAGGGAAACCGAGUCUUAACUGGGCGUUAAGUUGCAGGGUAUAGACCCGAAACCCGGUGAUCUAGCCAUGGGCAGGUUGAAGGUUGGGUAACACUAACUGGAGGACCGAACCGACUAAUGUUGAAAAAUUAGCGGAUGACCUGUGGCUGGGGGUGAAAGGCCAAUCAAACCGGGAGAUAGCUGGUUCUCCCCGAAAGCUAUUUAGGUAGCGCCUCGUGAAUUCAUCUUCGGGGGUAGAGCACUGUUUCGGCUAGGGGGCCAUCCCGGCUUACCAACCCGAUGCAAACUACGAAUACCGAAGAAUGUUAUCACGGGAGACACACGGCGGGUGCUAACGUCCGUCGUGAAGAGGGAAACAACCCAGACCGCCAGCUAAGGUCCCAAAGUCAUGGUUAAGUGGGAAACGAUGUGGGAAGGCACAGACAGCCAGGAUGUUGGCUUAGAAGCAGCCAUCAUUUAAAGAAAGCGUAAUAGCUCACUGGUCGAGUCGGCCUGCGCGGAAGAUGUAACGGGGCUAAACCAUGCACCGAAGCUGCGGCAGCGACGCUUAGGCGUUGUUGGGUAGGGGAGCGUUCUGUAAGCCGUUGAAGGUGUCCUGUGAGGGGUGCUGGAGGUAUCAGAAGUGCGAAUGCUGACAUAAGUAACGAUAAAGCGGGUGAAAAGCCCGCUCGCCGGAAGACCAAGGGUUCCUGUCCAACGUUAAUCGGGGCAGGGUGAGUCGACCCCUAAGGCGAGGCCGAAAGGCGUAGUCGAUGGGAAACAGGUUAAUAUUCCUGUACUUGGUGUUACUGCGAAGGGGGGACGGAGAAGGCUAUGUCAGCCGGGCGACGGUUGUCCCGGUUUAAGCAUGUAGGCGGAGGUUCCAGGUAAAUCCGGUACCUUAUUAACGCUGAGGUGUGAUGACGAGGCACUACGGUGCUGAAGUGAUAAAUGCCCUGCUUCCAGGAAAAGCCUCUAAGCAUCAGGUAACACGAAAUCGUACCCCAAACCGACACAGGUGGUCAGGUAGAGAAUACCAAGGCGCUUGAGAGAACUCGGGUGAAGGAACUAGGCAAAAUGGUGCCGUAACUUCGGGAGAAGGCACGCUGAUGUGUAGGUGAAGUCCCUGCGGACGGAGCUGAAAUCAGUCGAAGAUACCAGCUGGCUGCAACUGUUUAUUAAAAACACAGCACUGUGCAAACACGAAAGUGGACGUAUACGGUGUGACGCCUGCCCGGUGCCGGAAGGUUAAUUGAUGGGGUUAGCGGCAACGCGAAGCUCUUGAUCGAAGCCCCGGUAAACGGCGGCCGUAACUAUAACGGUCCUAAGGUAGCGAAAUUCCUUGUCGGGUAAGUUCCGACCUGCACGAAUGGCGUAAUGAUGGCCAGGCUGUCUCCACCCGAGACUCAGUGAAAUUGAACUCGCUGUGAAGAUGCAGUGUACCCGCGGCAAGACGGAAAGACCCCGUGAACCUUUACUAUAGCUUGACACUGAACACUGGUCCUUGAUGUGUAGGAUAGGUGGGAGGCUUUGAAGCGUGGACGCCAGUCUGCGUGGAGCCAACCUUGAAAUACCACCCUUUAAUGGCUGGUGUUCUAACGUAGACCCGUAAUCCGGGUUGCGGACAGUGUCUGGUGGGUAGUUUGACUGGGGCGGUCUCCUCCCAAAGAGUAACGGAGGAGCACGAAGGUUGGCUAAUCCUGGUCGGACAUCAGGAGGUUAGUGCAAUGGCAUAAGCCAGCUUGACUGCGAGCGUGACGGCGCGAGCAGGUGCGAAAGCAGGUCAUAGUGAUCCGGUGGUUCUGAAUGGAAGGGCCAUCGCUCAACGGAUAAAAGGUACUCCGGGGAUAACAGGCUGAUACCGCCCAAGAGUUCAUAUCGACGGCGGUGUUUGGCACCUCGAUGUCGGCUCAUCACAUCCUGGGGCUGAAGUAGGUCCCAAGGGUAUGGCUGUUCGCCAUUUAAAGUGGUACGCGAGCUGGGUUUAGAACGUCGUGAGACAGUUCGGUCCCUAUCUGCCGUGGGCGCUGGAGAAUUGAGGGGGGCUGCUCCUAGUACGAGAGGACCGGAGUGGACGCAUCACUGGUGUUCGGGUUGUCAUGCCAAUGGCACUGCCCGGUAGCUAAAUGCGGAAGAGAUAAGUGCUGAAAGCAUCUAAGCACGAAACUUGCCCCGAGAUGAGUUCUCCCUGAGACUUUAAGUCUCCUGAAGGAACGUUGAAGACUACGACGUUGAUAGGUCGGGUGUGUAAGCGCAGCGAUGCGUUGAGCUAACCGAUACUAAUGAACCGUGAGGCUUAACCUU